rnacentral:lncRNA from 1 species
AUGGCUGAUUUGAAAAUUCACUGCAAACACUGUCUUAUUUUUUAUUUUUUUUGCUUUGAUUCUUGGACUUCAAUCAAAGGUGUGGAUAAAUCCAUCAUUCAAGAACAUGUUCCUGUGUGUCCCAAUGGGCACUUAUCUGAUUUCACAGGUAUGAUAAAUUUUGCUAAGAACAGCACCAUCAAAAAUCCCACAAGAGCAAACUGGCCUGGGAGAAAACUAGAAGUUUCUUAACACAGAUGAGAUAAAUCUCAGCUGAUAUCAGCUUUACCUGGAAGCCAGACUGGCAUGCUGAGUGAUAGACAGAGGUGGAGGAAAAUUGGUAGGUAUAUGGUGAAGCAAAGAACACAGACUGAGCCCAUCUUAGACAGAAAAUUAACUCAAGUCUUCUGACAUCAACCUACAGCAUUCUCAUAGCAGAACUGCACUUCCACAUGUAUUGUGUUAACACAUGGCUUUAUCAGAAGCCUUAAUAUGAAUGCUGUAUACAGGAAUAAAUCAUAUGCACUUGGGAAUGGCA